rnacentral:rRNA from 1 species
UACGUAGGUGGCAAGCGUUGUCCGGAUUACUGGGCGUAAAGAGCGCGCAGGCGGUCGUUCAAGUCGCGUGUGAAAGCCCCCGGCUCAACUGGGGAGGGUCACGCGAUACUGAUCGACUCGAAGGCAGGAGAGGGUAGUGGAAUUCCCGGUGUAGUGGUGAAAUGCGUAGAUAUCGGGAGGAACACCAGUGGCGAAGGCGACUACCUGGCCUGUUUCUUGACGCUGAGGCGCGAAAGCUAGGGGAGCAAACGGG